AAACCCAGAAAGGUCGUAUCGGUC
rnacentral:sRNA from 1 species